AUAAAAAUAAUGAUUGGGAAAAAGCAAUUCGUAUUCUGUUUCAGAGAUCCGGUGGCUGGUGAAAACCGGUACAGAUAUUUAUUGCGAAACUCACCCAUGAAUUCUUUUGCUGAAUGUAAGAAUUGAACUUAUUUAGGUAAAAGCGUGCAUCCGCGUUAUAGGAUAUCAGCCGUUGUACUUAAUUUGGCUGAAUUAUGAGCCUAAUGUAGGGUGGUACCGCGAUAUUGUCGCCCCUAUU
rnacentral:ncRNA from 1 species